ensembl:lncRNA
GGCAGAGGAGAGAAAAGCCCAACAAUCCCCUCUGAGCAAGCACUUGGCGACAGUGGGGAGGAAAAACUGCCUUUAAACGGGCAGAAACCUCCGGCAGAACCAGGCUCAGGAGGGGACAGUCAACUGCCGGGACUGGUUGGGGGGGUUAACAGAGGUGGAGCAAGACGAGGCUACAUCAGGUGAGGAAGCAGUAGCGUCUCUCCUCCGGAACAAGUGGAACCAUUUUUUCUUUUUUUUCAUGCACUUUUCCACGAGCGCUUUUUUCUCCAGGAUGAGAUUUCUCAGCUCAUCGAUGGUUUCUGCGUUUUGUUCUUCAAGUUUCUCACAUCUUUGUUCCACCUCUUCCAAUGUUGCUUGUUGUUCUUCAAGCUUGUCUUUGAGUUGUUUGGAUGUUGCCUCCUGUAUCAGCUUGUCCUUGUGCAUGUCUGCAUUUCUCUGUUGGACCUCUUUGUGCUUGUCUUCUAACUGCUCGUUUCUUUUCUGGAUUUCUUGGAGCGUGAGCUGCAGGUCUUCAUGUAUUUUGUCUUCUUGUUGUUUUUGCGCCUGCAUUUGAGUGUUUUCACGCUUCAAGUUAUUGAAUUCCACCAAAAUCCCCUUAACGAGCUCGGAGUUGUUUCUCGCUAUCUGAUCAAUCCUUCUCUGCAUCUGUGAGCAGCGUUUCUCCAGUUUGUCCUUUUCUUCUUCCACUUUAGUUGCUUUGUCCUCCAGCUGAUUACAAAACUCUUGCAGUUUUAGAUUUUUAGACUCAAAGUCCUGGACGAUACGUUUUCCUUCUUUCAGUCUUUCCUGCUGUUGCUCUUUCUGUUGAAGAAGGUCUUUAUUUUGGCGCAGUGUUUCAUCCAGGCUUUCUUUCAGCAUGCGGUAUUUUUCCUGCAUGCUCUUCAGUUCGUGCUGCAUGUCUCGUUGCUUUUUGUCCUGCUCUUCCUUCUGUUGGAGGAAUUCUUUCUUUUCUUCCACAGCUUCAUGGAGCUGUCUUUGGAGGAGCUGAUUCCUUCGGUCCAUGUAUUGGAGAUCCCGUUGUAUCUUAUCAGUCAUCGUUUUCUUGUCUUGGAGCUGGUUGGUCAUUUCUUUUAGUUCUGCACUCUUUUGCCUGUUUUCUUUAAUGAGGUGCACAAUCUGCUCUCGGCUCUGAGCAAACUUGAUUCCCCAGCCCUCAUUAAUAAUUUUUAUGUCCGGCUGGCGCUGUUGUCUUUCUUCCAGCUCUUUAUUUUGGGCUUCCAUUCGUCUACAUUUGUCCUCCAGUUGAAGUUUCUCUUCUUCAAUUUGUUGCAUUUUUUUCUGGAGAAGGUAGUUUUCCUUCCUACUCUCCUCUAACGCCCUUUGGAAGGAUGAGACGCCAUUUGGGGAAAUUGGCCGGCCACGCCAGGAAGGAGAGGCGGCGUAAUCUUUUUGAAUUGGUUGUUUUUUUCUUGGAAACAUGUUGGAGUUUCUAUACGAUGACUUUGAAGAGCUUGUGGUGAACGUUUUGUAGGCUGCAAACACAGAUGCUGCUGAAACGAACUAAAACUUGCUGUUUCUCACCCCUACUUAAGGAAAAACAUCAAAGGACUUAAGAUUCUUAAGAUCUAUGACAUCAUCACUCCCUAAGCCAAUGAGAUUGUCACAAGACAUUUUGGAAUGGGGUAUUUUUUUUUAAACUGUUUUCAAACUUAACGUAAAAUUUCAGUGUUUCCUGGUUGUGGACUAUUGGUUAGUCCAGCCGAUUAAGAAAUUAAUUGUCACAAACAUCCCUAAUAUUAUAUAACAGACGACAGAAAACAAGACAGUUUUUUUUCUACGCUAUAGCGGUAUAAUAAAAGUUUUUUUAAUUAUCCUACUUUUUAUAAAAGAGAACAUUUAUUAAAGAUUAUGUAUUUAAUUAAAAAACUCUGUUCAUCUAAAGCAGGGAUCAGCAACC